GAUGAACGCUGGCGGCGUGCCUAAUAAAUGCAAGUCGAGCGAAUGGAUUAAGAGCUUGCUCUUAUGAAGUUAGCGGCGGACGGGUGAGUAACACGUGGGUAACCUGCCCAUAAGACUGGGAUAACUCCGGGAAACCGGGACUAAUACAGACUAACAUUUUGAACCGCAUGGUUCGAAAUUGAAAGGCGGAUUCGGCUGUAACUUAUUGAUGGACCCGCGUCGCAUUAGCUAGUUGGUGCGGUAACGGCUCACCAAGGCAACGAUGCGUAGCCGACCUGAGAGGGUGAUCGGCCACACUGGGACUGAGACACGGCCCAGACUCCUACGGGAGGCAGCAGUAGGGAAUCUUCCGCAAUGGACGAAAGUCUGACGGAGCAACGCCGCGUGAGUGAUGAAGGCUUUCGGGUCGUAAAACUCUGUUGUUAGGGAAGAACAAGUGCUAGUUGAAUAAGCUGGCACCUUGACGGUACCUAACCAGAAAGCCACGGCUAACUACGUGCCAGCCGCCGCAGUAA
rnacentral:rRNA from 1 species